GACGAACGCUGGCGGCGUGCCUAAUACAUGCAAGUCGAACGCACUCUCGUUUAGAUUGAAGGAGUUUGCUCCUGAUUGAUAAACAUUUGAGUGAGUGGCGGACGGGUGAGUAACACGUGGGUAACCUGCCCUAAAGUGGGGGAUAACAUUUGGAAACAGAUGCUAAUACCGCAUAAAACCUAACACCGCAUGGUGUAGGGUUGAAAGAUGGUUUCGGCUAUCACUUUAGGAUGGACCCGCGGUGCAUUAGUUAGUUGGUGAGGUAAAGGCUCACCAAGACCGUGAUGCAUAGCCGACCUGAGAGGGUAAUCGGCCACACUGGGACUGAGACACGGCCCAGACUCCUACGGGAGGCAGCAGUAGGGAAUCUUCCACAAUGGACGAAAGUCUGAUGGAGCAACGCCGCGUGAGUGAGGAAGGUUUUCGGAUCGUAAAACUCUGUUGUUGGAGAAGAAUGUAUCUGAUAGUAACUGAUCAGGUAGUGACGGUAUCCAACCAGAAAGCCACGGCUAACUACGUG
rnacentral:rRNA from 1 species